rnacentral:lncRNA from 1 species
AGCCACUUUGUGCUCCAUGAGAAGGGGAGAGCAAAUAUAUUUGUUUUAGCAUUUAUUGAGAGCCUGUUAUGUAACAGGCCCUGUUUAACCCUGAGUUUGGUCUGAAAAUCAAGCUUUCUGGGCAGUUUUUCUCUCUGUCUCAUUUUCCAUCAUAAGAAGACUGUGCAAAUUAAGCACCUUAACCUGAAAAGAAAAAGAGAAGGUCCUUCUAGAAGUAUAUCACACAAAGGAAAGAAAUCUGAAGUUCAGAACUCUAAGAUUACUAAAAUACUAAGCACAGAGUCCUAUCAAGUGGAAAAUGGGGAUGAUAGCGGAUAGAACAUCAUUAGGUGAGAACAUUUAUUGAGCACUUACUGUGUGCCAGGCAUUUUGUAAAUACUCAGCAUGUAUUAAUUUAUUUAACAUUCACAAUAGCUGCUAUUACUGUCAUUCCAAUGAGGAAACUGUAGCAUUGAUAAAUUAGGAAAUUUGCCUAAAAAAAUAGCUUGUAAGUGAUUGAACCCAGAUUUAGAUUUAGCUGUCUGGCUCCAGAGUCUGCAUGCAUAACCUUUAUGUUCCAUUGCCUCUGAUAAUCCCAUGGGAUAACUUCCAUAAGAAGCAUGAAGUGGUAUCGGCUUGGGGGUUCCAGCUGAAGGUCUGGAGAAUGGUGCUACCUACAAUGGAGGUAGAAGCAAGAUCUCUGAGAUUUGAUGACAGAACACUGGAAAAUAUUUUCAAUGAAUAGAGAUCUCUAAAGAGACCCUGCUGUGACCUAUUGGCAAAUACAAUGCAUUAUUGGUGAGCCUUUUUUGUCUGAACUUGAUGUCUGUCCAGAAGACAAAAACACUGAUUAGGUAGAAGGAGGAUGAAAGUCCUUCAGGAACAGAGUGACUCUGGACCUCAGCUACAAACUGCAGCUUAUUCAUAAAUGUCAAGAAACAAAAGGCUAUAUGCAUUGUCUAAGGAGCCUAAACAAACACCCUGGAGAACAGAGGUUAGCUCUGAGGGCUGUCUACCCUCCUGCUCUAAAUCUUCACAAUGGUGCCAUUCUUCACCUUUCCUUUCUCCUUUGAACAAUCACUGGCUUAAAUUGUACCUGCUCCAGCAAGACAGGUUUGCAGGUUUCAUAAGCCUUCAUGACAGAGAAUUAUUGCUACUCAGACUCAGGGCACCAGCAGCUCUAGUUCUGAUGAGAGAACACCACCCCAGGAAAAUUACAGACUAAGGAUCCAAAUCCGAGCCAAGAAAUCCCAGCAGGUACCUCUUAGAAAACUGGGAAGUGUUCUGUAUUAUGGAAUUGAAGAUAGAAGUGUUUUUCAGGGUGCUUGGGAAGAUUCCUUUGGUAUCUCAAUGGCUCCCUCCAUUAGUUUUCCAGUGGUUGAAAAUUUACCAUGACAGCUUUAUUCCUUUCUAUUUAAGAUUUUGCCACCUGUAAAAAUGCAAAUACCCUUGGAAGAAUCAGCAUAUUAAGCUUUAUGAAUGAAAAGAAGAUUUAAAUGAGAGAGCUGACCAGAUUCAUCCUAAGUACAAGCUUUGAUAGAAGCUGGUGACAAUACUAAGAGAGGGGGAUGGAGUAAAGACAGGUGGAGGUGCCAACAACAGGAGGAAAGGAAGAAGGAAGCGAGAUGGGAUUUGCUGAAAACAUUUGUCAUUGUUAAUAAAGGCUAUCAAUUCAAGGAUUGUAGGAGAAAA